CGGGACUGUGAAUAAGCUGUUCAGUGCGUCAUGGUGUUUGCGUUUGUGUUCGUUUCUAAUGUAGCUUUGUGAGAUGUAUUUAGUGCCUUCAUCUACCACAGGGACACCAUUGGCUGACAAUAUCGAAAAUAAAAAAAAAAUUGUGUAACCGGUUUUUAAUGCACAAAUGGCAUCUUGAGUGGGAAGGGAUAAUAUUUUUGGUAUAUCUAAAAUAUUUUUUGAUUCAAAUUUAUAAUGUAUUUUGAAUACAUUACGCGCGUAUUUCGAGUGCGGCCAAAAUAAUACAGAAUAAAUACAAAACGAAUAUUCGUAUUCAAUAUAUUUCAACUUCGUUUGAAGUACGGUCUCUUUUUGCUAAGGGUCGCCGUUCACGCGGCGCGGCCAAGCCCGGACCAGCGUCGGGACCUUCCUGUGGAAAGCCUCAGCUGCGCGGCGUCCGAGGGCUUCGUGCCCAAAGUGCUAUGCUUCGGCCGGCAAAAAACAGUCAACUCAGAACUGGCACGGACCGGGGGAAUCCGACUGUCUAAUUAAAACAAAGCAUUGCGAUGGCCGCUGGUCGGUGUUGACGCAAUGUGAUUUCUGCCCAGUGCUCUGAAUGUCAACGUGAAGAGAUUCAUCAAAGCGCGGGUAAACGGCGGGAGUAACUAUGACUCUCUUGUGGCAGCCAAAUGCCUCGUCAUCUAAUUAGUGACGCGCAUGAAUGGAUUAACGAGAUUCCCACUAUUCCAAUUGGCUUUUU
rnacentral:ncRNA from 1 species